UCAAAGAUUAAGCCAUGCAUGUGUAAGUGCAAGCCGUACUAAGGCGAAACCGCGAAAGGCUCAUUACAUCAGUUGUGGUUCCUUGGACUGUACCCAGUUACUUGGAUAACUGCGGAAAAUCUGGAGCUAAUACAUGCCGACAGAGUCCCGACCAGAGAUGGGAGGGACGCUUUUAUUAGAUCAAAACCAAAAAUCCCCUCCGGGGGAAACGGUUUAAGGUGACUCUGAAUAACUUUGUGCCGAUCGCACGGCCCUCGCGCCGGCGACGCGUCUUUCAAAUGUCUGCCUUAUCAACUUUCGAUGGUAGGCUCUGCGCCUACCAUGGUUGUAACGGGUGACGGGGAAUCAGGGUUCGAUUCCGGAGAGGGAGCCUGAGAAACGGCUACCACAUCCAAGGAAGGCAGCAGGCGCGCAAAUUACCCACUCCCGGCUCGGGGAGGUAGUGACGAAAGAUAACGAUGCAGGACUCUUAUGAGGCCCUGUAAUCGGAAUGACUACAUUUUAAAUCUCUUAAGGAGUAUCAAUUGGAGGGCAAGUCUGGUGCCAGCAGCCGCGGUAAUUCCAGCUCCAAUAGCGUAUAUUAAAGCUGUUGCGGUUAAAAAGCUCGUAGUUGGAUCUGUGCCCCGCACCGCCGGUCCCCGCUCUCGCGGAGCGACUUGCAGGUUUGUGGGGCGUCCUGCCGGUGGGAGGUCUUGCCGGCGGCGGUCUCUGCGUCGGGUGUACUCUCGGCUCGGUGCGCACGUCUUGCUCGCGUUCAGUCGGCCGGGCGACCGGUACGGCGGCGGGCGGUGUCCCGGCCGGAGCCCUUCGCGGGCCGUCGAUGCGCGCGCUCCCGGUUAUCCGAUCCUGCCGAAGGUGCUCUUCACCGAGUGUCGAGGCGGGCCGGCAUGUUUACUUUGAACAAAUUAGAGUGCUUAAAGCAGGCUGGUGACGCCUGAAUGCUGUGUGCAUGGAAUAAUGGAAUAGGACCUCGGUUCUAUUUUCUUUUGGUUUUCUGAACCAGAGGUAAUGAUUAACGGAGACAGGCGGGGGCAUUCGUAUUGCGACGUUAGAGGUGAAAUUCUUGGAUCGUCGCAAGACGAACAGAAGCGAAAGCAUUUGCCAAGGAUGUUCUCGUUGAUCAAGAACGAAAGUCAGAGGUUCGAAGGCGAUCAGAUACCGCCCUAAUUCUGACCGUAAACGCUGCCAUCUGGUUAUUCGCCCAUGUUACAACCUUUAUGACUGGGCGAGCAACCCUCGGGAAACCAAAGAUUUUGGGUUCCGGGGGAAGUAUGGUUGCAAAGCUGAAACUUAAAGGAAUUGACGGAAGGGCACCACCAGGAGUGGAGCCUGCGGCUUAAUUUGACUCAACACGGGAAACCUCACCAGGCCCGGACACUGGAAGGAUUGACAGAUUGAUAGCUCUUUCUUGAUUCAGUGGGUGGUGGUGCAUGGCCGUUCUUAGUUGGUGGAGCGAUUUGUCUGGUUAAUUCCGAUAACGAACGAGACUCUAGCCUGCUAACUAGUCGAUGAUUUCAAUCCGGCAUCCUCUUACGGCUGCCGGCGAAAACAACUCUUCUUAGAGGGACAGGCGGCUCCUAGCCGCACGAGAUUGAGCAAUAACAGGUCUGUGAUGCCCUUAGAUGUUCUGGGCCGCACGCGCGCUACAAUGAAGGUAUCAACGUGUGUUCCUUGGCCGAGAGGCCCGGGUAACCCGCUGAACCACCUUCGUGCUUGGGACUGGGGCUUGAAAUUGUUCCCCAUGAACGAGGAAUUCCCAGUAAAGGCGUGUCACUAGCACGCCUUGAUUACGUCCCUGCCCUUUGUACACACCGCCCGUCGCUACUACCGAUUGAAUGAAUUAGUGAGGUCUUCGGACCAGCGCGCGGUUCUCGUCCCUCGGGACCCCCGUCGCUGCAGGGAAGAUGAUCGAACUUGUUCAUUUAGAGGAAGUAAAAGUCGUAAC
rnacentral:rRNA from 1 species